GCUGUCCUGUCUCAGGGUGUUAACACUAUUAUUCCCACCACAGCUCCUCUGCCAAAGCUUUUGCUAUUGCCUUGCAUUAAGAUCAGCUCAGGUUAUAGCUACCCAUGCCAAUUUGGAGCAAUUCAGAGAGGGUUACAUAAGGUUCAGAAUUACUACGGAUAGUCAUGUAAGGCCAUUUGCAGAUUUCUUCAAUAAAUUCAACAGGCUUCCAUCACCAAGCUGCAGUUGCAGGGGGUCUGUUAUAAUAUGUGUUCUGGCAACACAAAUUGGUUAUAGUGUGACUUAUGAAUCGGGGAACUCUAUUUCUAAACUGCAAACUUAUGUUGGCUAUAACACGAUUCCAUUGAUUCCUGAAGGUGCUGGUGAUGAAGUUGACAACCUACAGCCACCGCAUUAACAACAGAGUAGCCUCAAGACCUCCUCCCUCAUCAAGUCAUCUUCACAUUUUUUUUGAGAUAAGCGAACUUGGUGUGAAUGAAGAAGGUUCAUUACGGGACUAUUCACCCCAAGGAUUACCCUGACCCAUGCCAAUACUGUACAGAGACAGUAGACAAAACCUGGAAAAAAGAGCUGAAAUUGAGAGCUUGGAAAGUGGUAGAUGAAGGAGGAGCCCUAUAGUGGCAGUGGCAGAAACACCAGGACAAGUCGGACGUGCCUCCACCCCAGGCCGGGCUCUCCUGUCUAGCAAGGAACAGGCCCUAGGCUGACUCCACUGGCCUGGGCUUGUAGGCUGGACCGCAGCUAGGUCCUGACACUUGAAGGAUCAGAAGCAUCAGUGAAAAGGAGAGACAGUGAAUUGGCAGCAGCGUCUGGAGGAUCGUCAGAUGGGGAACAAGAGGCUUCUCCUGGCUCAGCAACGAGGCAAGUUCCAGCAGCCUGGCAUGAUGGUCUUCUUUGGCAGAGGCUUCCAGCCCAGUAUUCCAGUGGCCCAGCAUGGCAAUCAUGUCCUGGCAUGUCUCGGAAUGGUGGUCCCCUCCCAGCAGCAUCUUCAGGGUACUCCAGCAUUCCUUAUUCUGCUUUCCCAUAGCCCAGGAGCCAUUAACUGAGCUGUGAUGAAUUUUGUUUUAAUAUUACAUUUAU